CUGAAAUCUAACUCAGGAGCUGACCUCAAUGACCCAGUGGUAAAGGAACAGAUGUUGGAGCAGAUCAGAAAUGAGCUGGCCAAGAACGGAAACUUCAUCCUAGACCUAUGCUGGAGAGAACUGCCUAAUUGAGAUAUUUUUCGCAAAACAGUUGAACUUGAAAGCCCUGAAGAAUGUACACACUUUGUGUCAGGUCAGUGUGGGUCUGGAUGAAGAAGACCAGCCAUGAUGAUGCAACAGGAGAGGGAUGGAAGGUCAAAGAACUAAAAUAGUCCAUAAUAAAUAAUAUAUUAAAUUAUUUUUAGUUUACGUUAUUCAAGUUGUGAAAGUUAGCUUUCUCUCAUGAAAUACGAAACAAAAA
ensembl:lncRNA